GUUUAAUUAUAAGAUCAAUAUUUUCUGUUUAAGACAUGUGGGAUGUACCGGUAUUAUUUGGGUUUUAGAGGCAUUCUUUGGACAUGUAUACAGCACAUUCGGAAUAUGCGUCUCAAUCUGGGUUUUUACU